rnacentral:tRNA from 1 species
GAGGCUGUAGCUCAGCGGAAUAGAGCACCGGACGUUUAAUCCGGGGACGCGGGUUCGAAUCCCGCCAGCCCACGA